rnacentral:rRNA from 1 species
GACGAACGCUGGCGGCGUGCUUAACACAUGCAAGUCGAACGAUGAAGCCGGAGCUUGCUCUGGUGAAUUAGUGGCGAACGGGUGAGUAACACGUGAGUAACCUGCCCUUGACUCUGGGAUAACUGCGGGAAACUGUAGCUAAUACCGGAUACGACCCUCGGAGGCAUCUCCUGGGGGUGGAAAGAAUUUCGGUCAAGGAAGGACUCGCGGCCCAUCAGCUAGUUGGUGGGGUAAAGGCUCACUAAGGCAACGAUGCGUAGCCGACCGGGGAGGGUGAUCGGCCACACUGGGACUGAGACACGGCCCAGACUCCUACGGGAGGCAGCAGUAGGGAAUCUUCCGCAAUGGACGAAAGUCUGACGGAGCAACGCCGCGUGAGUGAUGAAGGCUUUCGGGUCGUAAAACUCUGUUGUUAGGGAAGAACAAGUGCUAGUUGAAUAAGCUGGCACCUUGACGGUACCUAACCAGAAAGCCACGGCUAACUACGUGCCAGCCGCCGCUGUAA